GAAAUACUCCCUCCGUCUGAAAAUAUUUGUCAAAAAAAUGCAUAAAAAUGAAUGCCUCUAAAACUAAAAUACAUCUAAAUACAUUCAUUUCUCCGACGAGUAUUUACAGACGGAGGAAGUAUUAG
rfam:Triticum aestivum genome assembly, contig: Triticum_aestivum_CS42_TGACv1_scaffold_131608_2BL